UUUCCGUAGGUGAACCUGCGGAAGGAUCAUUAACACAAAACAAAAAAUUAUCCACCUUUUUUAUCGAUGGACAAAAAAGAAUUCAUUUUUUUUUGUUCACUCGGUAAAAAAAGCACCGUGGUAUGUUGAAGUCCUUAACCUCAUUUAAAAAAAAAUUUAUUUUUUUUUUAAUAGAGGUCAUUUAAGAACCCUUUCACCAUAAUUAAUAAUUAAAAUUUUGUUUUUUUUUUAUUGUAAAAGAUAAAAAUUAUAAAACAAAACAAAAAAGAAAACCGAGACACAACUUUUAACAACGGAUAUCUUGGUUCUC
rnacentral:misc_RNA from 1 species